rnacentral:rRNA from 1 species
GACGAACGCUGGCGGCGUGCCUAAUACAUGCCAGUUGAGCGAUGAAGAUUGGUGCUUGCACCAAUUUGAAGAGCAGCGAACGGGUGAGUAACGCGUGGGGAAUCUGCCUUUGAGCGGGGGACAACAUUUGGAAACGAAUGCUAAUACCGCAUAAUAACUUUAAACAUAAGUUUUAAGUUUGAAGGAUGCAAUUGCAUCACUCAAAGAUGAUCCCGCGUUGUAUUAGCUAGUUGGUGAGGUAAAGGCUCACCAAGGCGAUGAUACAUAGCCGACCUGAGAGGGUGAUCGGCCACAUUGGGACUGAGACACGGCCCAAACUCCUACGGGAGGCAGCAGUAGGGAAUCUUCGGCAAUGGACGAAAGUCUGACCGAGCAACGCCGCGUGAGUGAAGAAGGUUUUCGGAUCGUAAAACUCUGUUGGUAGAGAAGAACGUUGGUGAGAGUGGAAAGCUCAUCAAGUGACGGUAACUACCCAGAAAGGGACGGCUAACUACGUG